ACGACAUCUGCCUCCUCCGCGACGCCCUGGAGCCCCAUGCUCUCCAAGAGCUGCCUCUCGCCGGCGGCCUUCAGCAGUGCCUUCACGGAGUUCCGCAACUCGGGGCCAUCCCCCGGACUCCCGAUGGCGCCGCCGCGUACGAGCCCAGAAAGCUCGACUUCGGUAGUGCUCUGCUUCGUCCUCCUGCCCCUUCGACUUACUCAUCAGCGUCACCUACCUCCCUUGCCUCGACUCCACCUUUUCUUUGUUCAUCUUUUUUCUGUUCUUUCACCUGAAACUGAUUGAUUGUUCUCGAUUGUGUCCCAUUUCGAGCAGGUAGUCAUACUGCUGGUUACAAUCUGUUGGAAUGUCAAUGGGGAGAAAAGAGAAUAUGUACAGGCAUUUGUGGACUGCUGCUGGAUAGCGGCGCAGGGAUGGAGGCUGCACAGGUGGAGCUGCCGUAGGGGGUCCCUCAGUCGAGGACCGACAUACUACUUUUUCUGUCUACUACUAUCCGCUGAAGUUGCAGUUGUAGAAGGAUGAAGGAAAUGAGGAUUGAGGCAGACAUUUCCGUUCUAAGGAAACUUUUAACUGCAGCAUAAGUCAAUGGACGACGAUCUAAGGAUGGUGGAGGUGAAGAUUAAGAAGCUCCGAGCUCGGCUUUGUGCUAGCACUGAGUUUGGCCACUUCCACCAACGAUAAGAGGAACAAGGACAGCCGCAGCAACUCGGCGCGCUGUCAUCCAGUUUGCCACCGCUGUGAGGAGAGGCGGUGACUGGCAACGUGAUGCGUCACCAAACUUGGGUUGUCUCAGUCGGUGUGGAGAGACCCUCCAGAAGAAGCACAACUGCGUGAACCAGAUUGAAAUGGUCACCAUGGCCGUCAACCAGGUACAUGCAGACACUUCCCAAGUGCGGGCAGGCAAGUGCGGAUGACAUAAUUUACUGGCAUAUGUUGUUCCCGGGCAUGUUCUUGCUGGAGCACCUGUUGGACUAUGUGGACAUAUUCCAUCGAGCGCUGGUGGAAUCGGAUAACAAGUUGAUGCUGCUGAGCAGUGCAGAUGACAGCUGGCUCUGCCUCAAGUACUGGUUUUCUAGACUCUCCCAGACCAAGCUCGACUUAAGCAAGAUUCACGAAGAACUUGGUAUAUGCCUAACCAAUUUAUAAUUCAGUAUCCUAUGAAUGAAUUUACAGAAGCACUACAUUCACUUCUUUACGUUCAUGCUCU